UGCCUCGGCGGAUCAGCCCGCUCCCGGUAAAACGGGACGGCCCGCCAGAGGACCCCUAAACUCUGUUUCUAUAUGUAACUUCUGAGUAAAACCAUAAAUAAAUCAAAACUUUCAACAACGGAUCUCUUGGUUCUGGCAUCGAUGAAGAACGCAGCAAAAUGCGAUAAGUAAUGUGAAUUGCAGAAUUCAGUGAAUCAUCGAAUCUUUGAACGCACAUUGCGCCCGCCAGUAUUCUGGCGGGCAUGCCUGUUCGAGCGUCAUUUCAACCCUCAAGCCCAGCUUGGUGUUGGGACUCGCGAGUUAAAUCGCGUUCCCCAAAUUGAUUGGCGGUCACGUCGAGCUUCCAUAGCGUAGUAGUAAAACCCUCGUUACUGGUAAUCGUCGCGGCCACGCCGUUAAACCCCAACUUCUGAAUGUUGACCUCGGAUCAGGUAGGAAUACCCGCUGAACUUAA
rnacentral:rRNA from 1 species